GCGCGCCUGCGCACUUGCGGCGCGCUGCGCGAGGCUGGCGUGUCGCGUCUGCGCGCUGCGGCUCUCCGGAACUUCCUCUCGGAGACUAGAUGAGUCAGAGAAGGUACGGGCGAAUCCGGCCGUUCUCGCGAGAGCCGAGGAGCGCGGCGGGAGUUGCGGAUGACAGGCCGUGACGCGGGCGGGACUCGCGCAGCCUCAGACGCCUAAGCCGGUGACGUGGACUGAGCUCCCGGGGUGGGUCCACGGCAGCUCGGGACGUUCGAGGAGACAGUUCCGAGGCGACAGGUGGGGGCCUUGAGAAGGACCCGGGGCCGUGGACGCUGGCUGCUGCUUCCGGCAUCUGGGACGGACAGGUUGAUGCAGGAAGUGGACUUCACAUCCCCGGAGCAGGCAUUGAGGAUGCAGGGAAGAGAACCAAACCCUGAAGGAAAGAGUGACUAGUGAGCAGAAAGGACAGAGGCCAGCAUGUGAGCGGAUGGUGAGCAGAAGAGUGAGGGCUUUUUAGGAAGCAACAGGUGCUUCACACAUGCCAUUUGGUUUCAUCUCUAUUUACAGUGGGAGAGAACGAAGGCUGGUCAGCCAGCUAACCAAUGGAAACUAGCCUAAGAGCAGAACCUCCACUCAGAGGCUCCACAGAAGCAAGGCUGGAGUUCACCACCUUUAUCUUACAAAGAUCAAGUCACAGACAUCUGAAUAGAUGCCUGGAUUCUGCCCAUCUAGAAACUUUGCUAUGUUGUAUUUUGCUCCUAGAUGUUGAAGUUUGUCACAUCAUUAUUGCAAUGUAGACUGAUUAAAUUGGGUCUAAACUUGA